UUUUUCGGCAACAUGAUUUCU
rnacentral:miRNA from 1 species